GCAUUGGUGGUACAGCGGCAGAAUUCUCACCUUCCAUGUGGGAGGCCCAGGUUAGAUUCCAGGCCAAUGAA
rnacentral:tRNA from 1 species